AUUGAACGCUGGCGGCAGGCCUAACACAUGCAAGUCGAGCGAGCGGCGGACGGGUGAGUAAUGUCUGGGAAACUGCCUGAUGGAGGGGGAUAACUACUGGAAACGGUAGCUAAUACCGCAUACCAUCGGAUGUGCCCAGAUGGGAUUGGCUGGUUGGGGGGGUAACGGCUCACCAAGGCGACGAUCCCUAGCUGGUCUGAGAGGAUGACCAGCCACACUGGAACUGAGACACGGUCCAGACUCCUACGGGAGGCAGCAGUGGGGAAUAUUGCACAAUGGGCGCAAGCCUGAUGCAGCCAUGCCGCGUGUAUGAAGAAGGCCUUCGGGUUGUAAAGUACUUUCAGCGGGGAAGCGUUACCCGCAGAAGAAGCACCGGCUAACUCCGUGCCAGCCGCCGCGGUAAUUC
rnacentral:rRNA from 1 species